UUUCUCUCUCCCCUUCUUCCCUGACUACUCCCUCUUUCUCUCUCACUUCUCUUUCUCCCUUUCUUCUCUCUUCUCCUACACCUCCAGCAUAGACCCCCGACUGCAUCUCUGCCCCUCCCUUACUCUCACUUUCUUUCAUCCCUCUCCAAUUCCUCUCUCUUUCUCCACAUUCUCUGGAAACUCUCUCUCUCUCUGUCUCUCUCUAUCCCUUAUACUUAUCCUCGCGGAGGGUCGAGCUUGCAGAGGGUCGUGGGUCGCGGAUGGGGCUAUGGAUGGGGUUUAAGGGCUCAGGCUUGCAGAGGGUCGUGCGUGGCUUGGUCUCGCAGAGAGGUCAUGGGUGGCUUGGUCAUGUAGAGAGGUCAUGGGUGACGGGGAAGAGUUGUGAGUCUGCGCUCAUGGUCUUCCUUAUGCCAAAUGCGGGCUCAUUGGCAAGGAUGGGUAAUGGGAAAACGGUGGGGGCUCGGGGUUCUUGCAGAAACGACCCAAACAAUGGGCUCAGGAUCGUGGGUGGCUCGGUCUCAUGGAGGGGGUGGGUGGCUCAGUCUCGUAGAGAGGUCUUGGGUGGUGGCUCUAGCGAUGGGGUUAUGGCUAUUUUCUCUCUGUGUUAACGGAGAAGAUGAAGAAUGAAGGACCAGUGGCCCCGAAGAUCAACAACAGGAAAAUGGACAGUUGAAGAGGUUUGGCAGAUUUGAAAAUGUAAGUUCACGGCAGAAGGUAACACGUAGCACCUCAGGAAUGUGUGAGACUGUUGAAACAAGUUUUCUUUUACACCAUAGGGUAAAGGAAGUAGUACCAAUUCUUACUUUGGAAAGACUAUUGGUAAUGAUGGUGAGUACAAGGACAAGAAGAAGAAAUAUACGUUGUUGGACAAUGAAUUUAGUAUUUUAUUUUAUUUGUAAUUUUUAUUAGAGUAAAUGAUUCUUUUUUGAGUUGCUAAUUAUUUAUUUUUUAAAUCUAGUUAUAUAUUUUUUAAGGUCAAGACGAUUAUGUUUAUAGACAACAUUAUAUGAUUUUUGAGUCAAGUAGUAGUGUUAUAUUUGUCCAAAA